CCAAAAAUAAAAAUUAAAUUCCACUAUAACUUAACUACCUGCAGUUCACCGUUCCAUCCCUCUCUCGCUCUCUCUCAACCACCAUGCCCAGCCACCACCUCCACGCUCCCCUCCGCUCCUCCACCGCUACCUCAACCACCAUCUCCACUCAAUCCUUCACCUCAAGACUAAUCCUCCUCCUAACUCUUCUCCCUCUUUCUCUUGCAGCCUUAGCUUUUAUCCUCCAAUGGAAAGGCAAUUCUGGCUUCAUGAUGGAUCCCACAACAGCCAACUCUCGUUGGGCCCCACAAGGGUCUCACAUUAAAAACCAUGAGAUCUUCCCUGGCAUGGAAUUAUCUGUUUUAUCGCCUAAAGCUCACAAAUCAUCGGACUGUUCUCGUCUUGGACGUAGUGGGGCACCUUCUUUUCCUUAUUUUCGUGAUUGGAAGUUUGAUUUUCAAGCUAAUUUGAGGCCUAAGAUAUGUAUUACAACAAGUACUUCAGCUGGUUUGGAUCAGAUUCUACCGUGGAUGUUUUAUCAUAAGGUUAUGGGGGUGACAACCUUUUUCCUUUUCGUGGAAGGGAAUGCAGCGUCUCCUAACACGUCUAAAGUUUUGGAGUCCAUUCCUGGAGUAAAAUUGAUUUAUAGAACAACAGAGCUAGAGGAGCAACAGGCUAAAAGUCGGAUAUGGAAUGAGACAUGGCUGUCCAAUUUCUUUUACAAACCAUGCAACUAUGAGCUUUUUGUGAAGCAGUCUCUCAACAUGGAAAUGGCAAUUGUCAUGGCAAGGGAUGCAGGAAUGGACUGGAUACUUCAUCUUGACACCGAUGAACUGAUUCACCCUGCUGGUGCCCGUGAAUAUUCUUUGAGGCAGUUGCUGCUCGAUGUUCCUGGAAAUGUGGAUAUGGUUGUGUUUCCAAAUUAUGAGAGCAGUAUUGAACGAGAUGAUAUUGAGGAUCCUUUUGGUGAGGUGUCGAUGUUCAAGAAGAAUUAUGACCAUCUCCCAAAGGAUACGUACUUUGGAAUGUACAAGGAAUCUACUCGUGGCAAUCCAAAUUAUUUCUUAACUUAUGGAAAUGGGAAGUCAGCUGCUCGAGUUCAAGAUCAUCUACGUCCUAAUGGCGCACACAGAUGGCACAACUAUAUGAAAACCCCAAAUGAGGUGAAAUUGGAAGAGGCUGCUGUUCUACAUUACACGUAUUCCAAAUUUUCUGAUUUGACUUCUAGACGUGAUCGGUGCGGCUGCAAGCCUACAAAGGAGGAUGUCAAAAGAUGCUUUAUGUUGGAUUUUGACAGAUCUGCAUUCAUAAUUGCAUCAACUGCAACCGAGGAGGAAAUGCGAAACUGGUAUCGUGAACAUGUCGUAUGGGGUGACAAAGACUUGAAAUUGAAGCUCCUGAGGAAGAGCAUUUUAACUCGCAUAUAUUCUCCUAUGGCCAUAAUUCAGGGCUUAAGAGAGUCGGGUGUCUUCAGCUCUGUUAUUCAAUCUGCCCCAACAACACUUUCACGAGACAAGUUUCUAGCAUCUGUCGAUAGUAGUAACUCGUCAAGAACAGUUGCCUCCGAAUCAAUGCAGUCAAGAAAGACCAUCAAAAGUAGAGAGAGUCAAGCAACAGCUAGGAAGGUUUUGGGUUUAGAAACUACUACGGUAUAUCAUGAAGCAGCUGUUCCACCACUUUCUCCUCCAGGAUUGCUUGUGGAAGCAUGAUCCAUGUUCCUGGCAUGAUUGCUGCUGCUUCUCAUUCCUGUUUGAAUUGAAGGGAAGAAUCAGGAGAGAAAAGUAAGAGCAAGCAGGGCUUCUCAUUGCAGUGUAUGUGUUCAGUUAUAAUUGGUUCUUCCCGAUCGUCAUCCAAGCGCUUGUGUACAUUUACCUAAGGAGGAUUCUUCUCCAUUUGUAUGCAUGGCCACCUCGUGUUUUUUCCUUUGCAACUAGGAAAAAAAAAAAAAAACCCCAAACUUAACCUGUUAUUCUCAUGUAUAGAAACUACAGUCUUGACAGUAGAAAAAAUUUUACAAAUCUCAAAUCUCUCGAGCUCAAGUUAUGUAAUCUAUACUCCCACCGACAUCUGAUGGCGGUUUUAUGAUGAUGAUGAACGGUGUACUUGGUAGUAAUGGCGAUAUCCAUGUUACGUAUCGAGUGGCUUUGGAAAUCGGGUUGUUGACAAGGGAAACAAUCCGACUUGAUGACCCAUUGGUUCUUAAUUUGAAUCAUCGUUAUUUCAA